rfam:Bursaphelenchus xylophilus, Ka4C1 (inbred line), WGS project CADV01000000 data, contig: scaffold01226.2
AAAACACUAGUUGAGUAAGCAAAUGACUAAAGGCCUAUAAGGCACAGCCUAAAGUCAGCAAAGAGGUGGGCAAACCCUGGGUGAGUGGAACACAGUGAAUAUGAUAGAGAUAUCAGCUGAAGACCACUGACCCAGGGGCGUCAAUGUCAGUUCGCAUAUAAUGAGAUGGGAUGUCUUCUUAUCCAUUCACCAGGGUAAAACCUGGAAGAUGGGGCGGGUGCAACGUGAGAGGUUUGCACAUUGUGCGGACGUUGCUGCGAAACUGAAGUGACGCGUAUGAAUGGAUUAACGAGAUUCCCACUGUCCCUAACUACUAUCUAGCGAAACCACAGCCAAGGGAACGGGCUUGGCAAAGACAGCGGGGAAAGAAGACCCUGUUGAGCUUGACUCUAGUCUGACUUUGUGAAGAAUCAUGCAUGGUGUAGUAUAAGUGGGAGUGUUUCGGCACGUCAGUGAAAUACCACUACUUUCAUCGUUUCCUUACUUAUUCGGUAAUACGGGGAACGUUUUCUCUGAAAACUUGUGAUUGAUUUUAAGCCGGCGUACUUGGUGCGCCGGCGACCCGCGCCGAUGACAUUGUCAGGCGGGGAGUUUGACUGGGGCGGUACAUCUAUCAAACAGUAACGUAGGUGUCCUAAGGUAAGCUCAGUAAGGACGGAAACCUUACGUAGAGUAAAAGGACAAAAGCUUACUUGAUCUUGAUUUUCAGUACGAAUACAGACCGCGAAAGCGUGGCCUAUCGAUCCUUUCGAUUUGUAAAGUUUACAGCAAGAGGUGUCAGAAAAGUUACCACAGGGAUAACUGGCUUGUGGCAGCCAAGCGUCCAUAGCGACGUUGCUUUUUGAUCCUUCGAUGUCGGCU